AUCGCUUCUCGGCCUUUUGGCUGAGAUCAAGUGUAGUGUCUGUUCUUAUCAGUUUGGUAUCUGAUACGUCCUCUAUCUGAGGACAGUGUAUUAAAUGGAUUUUUGGAGCAGGGAGAUGGAGUGGGAACUUGCUCCGUCCACUCCACGCAUCGACCUGGUGUUGCAGUACUUCCAGGAAUGGUGCACACAAA
ensembl:snRNA U2 U2 spliceosomal RNA